rnacentral:lncRNA from 1 species
ACAGGAGGUCUCAGCCCCUGGUGUUUGCUGCCCACCCCGUGGCCCCAUUGCAGCGUUGGGUUGUGGCAAGCUUGGCUGCACGUAGCGUGGCACGAAAGGUAUUUUGAUGUACAGAGCUCUGGCUUGUGCACCACUGGCUUCCCCAUUUGGGCACUGGUGAAUUGAGAGCAGCCUGGGGAGAUGCUGCUGAUGGGAGCUCACAUGGGGAUAAAAAAAACAAGCUGCCAAAAGAAGAGGGAAAUUCUCUGGUGCUCUACCCCAUUCAUUUCAAUUUUAUCUCCUUGACUCUGCCAGGGGGGUUCCAGUGUCCAGCACAGGCAGACUUUAAUUUCCCAUUUCUUGGCUCAUAAGCAACUCACACCACUAAGUCUGAAUAUCCAUGCUGUGUGAAUCCCCUAGAAAGCAUAACGCAGUUUAAUGAAAUCAUGCAAACUGUGAGUGUUGGUUAAAGGAAUGAUGUUAAAAUUUAACUGAAUCCUUUCUGGUGUUUUAAUCAAGCUUUACAAAAGCUGGCUGCCUUUGCAGGAGUCCCAGGCAGCUCUGAGCUUGCUCCAAGCAGAAUUAGCGGUGGAAGUGCUUUGUGCUUCAUCGUUCCAGGUGCUCUAUCAGCCAGCCCAAGGAACUGGGAUGCAGCCUAGGGAGAUCUCAGCUGCAUGGCCAUGGAAUGCUGAAAUGCCAAGCCUUGCUCUCUCACUCUCAAAGCUCUCGUGUCCUGGUGGCAUUCAGCACAGAAAUAGCAUCACAAGAAGCUAUUGCUGCUGAAAAUUGCUUUGGUGCACUGGGACUCUUAUUCGCUGGGUAUAACAAGAGCGUUCUGCAAAGCAGAGGGAUAAAGACUGAGGAAGUGCUGUACUUAGAAAUCCUGUCUUGGUCUGACCUUUAUCUUGUCUCAGCAUCAACUUCUAAAGAGUGACUCCCAUCCCACCUCGCCAGGCAUUAUGGAGGAACAGCAGCUCUCUCCCUUGCACAGCUAUAGCUCACACAUCCAAAAGGCAACAAUGCCCACUCCAGUGGCAGAGACUUUGGGAACAGGACCACAACCAUUCUGGGCUUUUCAUGAAUAAAGAAUCUUAGAUCUGUACA